rnacentral:rRNA from 1 species
AUUGAACGCUGGCGGCAUGCCUUACACAUGCAAGUCGAACGGCAGCAUAGGAGCUUGCUCCUGAUGGCGAGUGGCGAACGGGUGAGUAAUAUAUCGGAACGUGCCCUAGAGUGGGGGAUAACUAGUCGAAAGAUUAGCUAAUACCGCAUACGAUCUACGGAUGAAAGUGGGGGAUCGCAAGACCUCAUGCUCCUGGAGCGGCCGAUAUCUGAUUAGCUAGUUGGUGGGGUAAAAGCCUACCAAGGCGACGAUCAGUAGCUGGUCUGAGAGGACGACCAGCCACACUGGGACUGAGACACGGCCCAGACUCCUACGGGAGGCAGCAGUGGGGAAUUUUGGACAAUGGGGGCAACCCUGAUCCAGCAAUGCCGCGUGAGUGAAGAAGGCCUCCGGGUUGUAAAGCUCUUUUGUCAGGGAAGAAACGGUUCUGGAUAAUACCCAGAGCUAAUGACGGUACCUGAAGAAUAAGCACCGGCUAACUACGUGCCAGCAGCCGCCGCCG